GACUGCCAGUGUGAUUGCUCUACACUGAGGUUUUUCUGCAAAACGCAUGAGGGGAUUGGAUUUUCAUUUUGAAGAGAUCGCUUUGGAUGCAAAAGAAAAAAUGGACUACAGGGCCCAAAAUGCAUGUGGAAAACAAGGUCCCCAGGCUCCUCGCUGUUGCAUGGAACUACCAUCCGUCUCAUGCCUGCUCCUGCUCACAAGAAGUCUGCCACCUCAACACUGACGUGCCUCAGGCUGCAAGUUCCCGCUGAUGUUCCGGUGGCCACCGCGCGGUUCCAGGGGCCUCUGACAGUGGGGUGCUACACUGAGAGGUCUCUGGGUGAAGGAAGGAAACUGAGGACGGAGCCGAGAUCUUUCCAUGGCCCAGAGCAACUCGCCCU
rnacentral:lncRNA from 1 species